GAAGCUUUACUGUAUCUUGGAAUUGGGUUUGGGCUUUGCUUGCGCAGGAUAGGUGGGAGGCUUUGAAGAUAUUCUUGCGGGAAUAUUGGAGCCAAUGGUGAGAUACCACUCUAGUAAGGCUAAAAUUCUAACUUNGAACCGUUAUCCGGUCGANGAACAGUUUCAGGUGGGCAGUUUGACUGGGGCGGUCGCCUCCCAAAAGGUAACGGAGGCGUGCAAAGGUUCCCUCAGGCUGGUCGGACAUCAGUCGUAGAGUGUAAAGGCAUAAGGGAGCUUGACUGCGAGACCUACAAGUCGAGCAGAGACGAAAGUCGGCCUUAGUGAUCCGACGGUGCCGAGUGGAAGGGCCGUCGCUCAACGGAUAAAAGUUACUCUAGG
rnacentral:rRNA from 1 species